AUCUUCUGUGUCCAUUUCACACAUGGUCUAUGUCCACCUUAGAUGAUGAGUACCAGAAAUGUGCUGGAACAAGGUGGCAGCCUAAACAUGGCUUCUGCUUCCACUCUCCACUUGCUAAUUGAGAAGUAAAAAGCAGACACACUGAGCCCGGAUCGGCUGAAUUCAAGCUCCCGUUCACCUGCUUCUUGCAGACAAAUUGCUGUUACUCAGCAGUAAAUGAUCCCGCUGAAACAAAUGGUCGGCCCCUCUGAUCCUACAGAGGUUAAUGCCAACCGAGCCUUCAUAGGCAGUGGCCACAGGAUUGAAACGGGGCUUGGGAGAGACGGUCAGGACCCACCCGUUGCAUUGGUCACCCGGCAAAGGGAACAAACUGUUGCCAUUUGCAUGGGAUACCACCAUGGCAGAGAACUGACCACCAGAAUGCGGCGGAGGAGAUAACUUCAUUGAAACCAGCUGAGACAGGUGUGUAAUCCCCUAGCCUUCCCUCUCCACACAGUGGGGAAACCUUAAGGGCCCCUCCCAGCUCUCCCGUGAGCGCAAUACCCAGACCGAGGGAAUCGGGAGUGGUGCGGGACCCGCGGUGCGGAACUCCCGGCUACCACUCCCACCAGUGCUGACAACUGAGGUCUCUUGCACCAGCUACCGGGAGCGUGACUACCGGAGGGCAAGCAAAAUUUGCUGAGGGUUCUCAGCCCCAAGGUCUACAAAUUUAGGGUCUGAGGGAAUGGCAAACAGGGAGAGUGUGCCCAGUCGUUCAUGAAAACAGGGCUCCCGGGAGCAGCAGACCUGGCGUGUAGCCAGUAUUGUGGUGAGCAUCACCGGUGAGUGGGGCCUGGCUUGAGGAAAAGUGGGGAUGUGACUAGACACAAGAGAAGGCCCUAGGCACUCAGGAUUGGAGACCCGCCCAGUCUGGGAGGAGGAGCUGCUACACAGUGAUUGGUUCCCACAUAUUGAGAGGAGAAGCUUGGCCCAGUGGGCACAGCUCCACCUACUGGAAGAGAAGUUAAUCAAACUCUAAGACUGCAUUUAUUAAUUUUUUUUUUAAUUUGGGUUUCUUUUUCAUUUUCAUUUUUUUGUUGUUUUUUAAUUUGUUUUAAUUUUAAUCUUAAUUUUAAUUUUUAUUAUUUUUUUUAAUUUUUUUUCUUUUCUAUUUUUUUUCUUUUGUCUUUUCAAUUUUCUUAUUCCCCCUCCUUGAAUUCUACCCACUUACUCUCAUUCUCUUUAGUGACUUCUUCCCUUCCCUUCUAAUACCUUUCCUCCCAAGCAUCAAAUAAAUUUAUAGGAGUAAACAGUAACUCAGCAGUCAAACAGAACAAGAAGUAACAUGAGCAGAAUGAAAAAGCAAGGAAGAAAAGGAGUACAAACAAUGCAGGACAG
rnacentral:lncRNA from 1 species